rnacentral:snRNA from 1 species
GGGUGAUUUGGCUGCCACAUCUGUCACCCUAUUGAUUGCCAGGGUUGAUUUGGCUGAUCUGGCUGGCUAGGUGGGUGUCCCCUUCCUCCCUGCGCACCCCUCCUGAAGCUGCACGCUCGGUUGGAUAGGAUGACCUUCCCCGAAUAGAGGAGGAGCGGUCUCCGGUCAAGGGUGUACAAGCAGCUGCGCACCCUGGCUAGAGCCUCCAGACAAGCUCUCAAGGUCCAUCUUGUUUUUUGAGUGAAUAAUAUUUUGUUGUCCAGCCUCCAUCUAUUUUUUCUAAUUGGAUCACUGUUGUUAACAGAAUUACUUUC